rnacentral:lncRNA from 1 species
AUGAACAUGAACUUUCACCCCCUUCUGCCACUGUCUCACCAGGUGGCUGGUGCCAAUCCAGUCUUAGGCUGAAUCUGAGACUUACUGCCUGCAAAGACAAAGGAUAUUUCUCUCCAGCUGCCCUGGAUAAAGACAACGUGUGCAUUGUCAGAACAUGCAGUUUCUUGGAGGAUCCAGGCUAAGACACUGAUGUUAUCCCACCACCCCCAGCCUCUGAAUGCUGCAGCAGCUUCUGGGCUCCUUGGACCCACCUCAUGCAACGUAAACUGACCUACAGUGAUGUCCCAUCAUUCCUGGCUCAUUAAUGAGAAAGGUCUGUUACAUUUCCCAGAAUGGUUCCCAGCGCUGGAGAUAAUUCCUUUUCGGAGAACCUACAUUUCUCACCUGCUGAUUGCAAUUAGCCACUGCCAGCUGGGGCCUGGUGUGCAGCUGAAAAGCUAACAAGAAGUGGAGACCACGCGGAACCCAGACAGGGCAGAGAAGGUGCAUAAAUAAGGAAUGGUGCCCGUGUUCAUCAGGGGCUUCUGUGAAUUUGAGGCUUCUUGACCUUCUACAUAGACCCCCUCUUCUGACUCUGUGCUGCCUGCCCGUCCCCUGAUUAUUAUUAUUUUUCCUCUGGGUUUGUAGCCUGCACUUAACAUCACAGUCAUGAUUUUACCACUAAAUACAUUUUGUUGGGCAGUAAACAGCCUUGGAAAAAAAAUGAAAUCCGA